rnacentral:lncRNA from 1 species
UAGAGUGAGGUUGGGGUUAAGUUUAUAAUUUAAAGUUAGUUAAUUACUUUACAUAAUUGUUAGACAAUUCAUUAACUUGUACUAUACUAUAUAUUAUCUUUUAAUUCAUUUGUAUAUUCAUUCGUAUUCAAUGUUCCAAUUUAUUAAUUUUGUAUACUAUAUGUUUAUCAACACUAAUAUAAGUUUCAUACUAUUUUUCACUAAUAUAAGUUUCAUACUAUAUGAAUAAGUAUGUGGUCUAUAAGUGUGUGACAUGGACUUUAUUGCGUGAUGGAAUUGUAAAAAGUUGUUUUUCACUUUUGUCCAUAGCUAUAAUCAACAACGUCAUCUAUUUUUCCUUUUUCACUGGGUACUUGCAAGUGAAGGCACUUACAAUAAUAAGUGUGUGUUUGAGGUUGGAGCAAGACAUCUUUUUAAAAAAUAUUGACAAA